UGUGGUGGCGAUAGCAAGAAGGAUACACCUGUUCCCAUGCCGAACACAGAAGUUAAGCUUCUUCACGCCGAGAGUAGU
rnacentral:rRNA from 2 species